rnacentral:lncRNA from 1 species
UCGGCCUCCCAAAGUGCUGGGAUUACAGGCGUGAGCCACCGCGCCCGGCCUUUUUUUGUGUUUUGUUCAUACUACUUAUCACCUUCUAGCAUACUAUAAAAUUCACUUUUAUUAUGCUUAUUAUUUACUAUUUCUCCCACGGGGGAAUAAAAUAAAACACUUUGGAUGUGUUUUUUUUUCCACUCAGGGGAGUGCAAGUUUACAAGAACAGAGAUCUUUGUUUUAUUCCCCAAAAGAGUAUCUUUUGAUAUUGGUUUUCAGCAAAAAUUUGCUGAAGGAAUAAAGUGAAUGAAUCAAUCAGUGAGAACUCUCAUUGUUAUUUGUAGGGGCAUAUGCAAAGUGUCACUGAAAGCUGUGUGUUUGAGUCUCCCAAGUAAGUCCAGGAAAGAUUAGCCUGAAGUCUGAUUUAAUUAUCUUUAAUUGUGUUAUUAUUAGGUGUCUUAGAUUGGAAGACAGUCUGAGUGAAAGAUGAUGCCUUUGACUUCAUUUUUGGUGAAGAGUUUAGUCUUUUAAAACUACAUGCAAUAAUAUAGUAUGAUUUUGAGCAAGGGCUCUGGAGCCAUUGUUCUUGGGUCAAAAAGAGAUCAGUUUCUUACUACUUAUGUGAAGGGCAAGUGACUUAAACUUUGCUGUUUCAGAUUUCUCAACUAUAAAACGCUGAAACUAAGAGUACUUACCCGACAUAUUACUGUGAAGAAGAAAUGAGCAAAGAGCUUAGAACAGAGCUUGGCACAUAAGAACUGCUUGAUAAUGAUCAGAUGUUAGCAUGAUUAGUACUUGGAGGGAGGCAGCUUUGUUUCAUGAAAAGAACAUCACAUUGGUUUUAAGACUGAGAUCUAAGUCUGUCUUUAUUACUAAUUAGUUGCAUGGAAUUGAGCAAGUCAUUUAAUGACUCUGCUUUUAUUAGAAAACAAAAGAGUAAUACCAUAUUACAUCUAAGACCUCUUCUUGCUCUAAAAGCCUGUAAUCCUCUUAUAAUGAUGAUGAUUGCAUAUUUCUUUAUAGGGUCAUUUAUCAAAUACAUAUGUAAUUUCUAUAGAAAAUUUAUUCUUAAGAUAGAGAUAACUAAACUGAUGGAAUAUAUCAUGUUAAUCUUUAUUUGAUAUUAAAAUAAUUGUUAAGAUUACAAGGAUAAGAUGGAGCUUCAAGAAAUACUAAUUAAUGAUAAUGACAUGUAUGUAUGGCAUCUCAUAAAUGAACAGUGUACGCUUUUAAAUAAUAUAUACAAAUACUUAUUCUUGCCAUUUUGUAGUUAACUUUUCUGAACUGUUUCAAGAAAUAGGGUAGUCCUUUGUGUAGUAUUCAUUUUAAUUAUAUGACAAUUAUAUAUAGAUGUUGCAAGAUCUGGUAAAAUCUCAUUAAAUUGUCAUAGUUCAGUCUGACAGAUAUGUGCUUCUAAACUAUAGAUGAUGGCAAGAGAAAUGAGUAACUCAUUUUCUACACUUUUUGUAAAGACUGGGCUUCAUGAUGAUAGUCGUGAACGUGCUCUGUUACUUUAAAAAAUUGACUAUUAGAAGCAAAAGAGUAGCCUAGAUAAUAAAAUUACAUUUCAACAUUUUCUCUCGGAUAAAUUCUGGUUAUAAUCAGUGGACAUCUGUUCAUUUUUAAACUUUAAUGUUUGUUUACUUUGAGUUUGUAGCUUAAGAUAAAAAUUCCAGACAGUUUAAUAACAAAGAGUAAGUUUGUCAUUUAAAACAAAUGCCUUAAUCAAAAUUUCCAUAUAACAAAGUUAUUUUCACGCUCUGGUUAUUGGCACAUUUAAUUCAAACACUAUUUCAUAGAGUAAAUUUUCAGGAUAAAUUGAACUUAAUCAUGGUGGUUUGGUAAUGGAAUUCGGUCCUAGAUCUCUUUUCUUUUCUUUAGGCUCUGAUUUUUUAAAAAUCUUGAUUGGAUGCAUUAAAAAUCAGAGAAUCUGCAUGAUAAUCAAGAGGAACAGCAGAGAACAGUUCUUGGUUAGAAAGAAACUGUACCAUAGGUAGAAAAAUAUGAAGAGAUAUCUUUGUACUAGGUUAUCCUCUCUGAGCAUGAAUAUAGUAUUUGUGUAAGGUAAAACUGACUUUUUAAAAUGAGGUGCAUAUGCUGCAUGGCACUGGGAAAUGGACAUCAAACCUGCGUGUCCAUCUUGUGCUGAAUGUCCUUGCUUAGUAAAUUUCAUUUUAACCGUAAAAAGAAGCACAUAUUGGAAGGAAAACUGACUUCCAAUAAGCAUUUCUCAUAAAAAUGUUUUUCUAUAGUGUGCAUUUAGAGAACUUCCAGAAGACACUGAUAAUCCAGCUGAGAGCUUAUGAAAAAUAUAUAUAUGAUAGCUUUUAAAUGGUUUUCCAAUUACCAGCCUAAUUCUAUGGUGAUUUCAAAACAUACCAUGAAUCAAUAUUACAGAAUAAUGUCUUAAUGUUUGAUUGUUGAUACAAUAUGUAUCAAAUCAUAGAUGUUAGUUCUAUCUCAUUAUACAAAUAUUUUCAAAGACUUCCAUUUAGGUUAUACAAAGCCCUUAAGUGUGAAAAAUGACAUACUGCAAUUAUCUAUCUUUUGUUGAAAAUUUAACUACAAAAUAACAAGAGUAAGUGUUUGUAUAUGUUAUUUAAAAGCUUACAUUGUCUGUGAGAUGCCAUGCACAUAUGUCAUUAUCAUUGAUUAGUAUUUCUUGAAGCUCCAUAUCAUCCUGUAGCCUCAACAAUUAUUUUAACAUCAAAUAAAGAUUAAUAAUAAAUUAUAGUAAUUUAGUCAUCUCUAAUUUACCCAGAGAAUACAUUUCCCAUAGAAAUUAUAUAUGCAUUUGAUAAAUGACCUGUUAAAGAAAUAUGCCAUCAUCAUCAUUAUAAAGGAAUUACAGGCUUUUAGACUAAAAAAAGGUGUUAAAUGUAAUGUGGUAUUACUCUUUGGUUUUCAAAUAGAAACAAUUAAUUAAAUGACUUUCUCAACCCCGUUGCAUCUAAUUAGUUCAAUUUCCCAUUCUUUUUGGUAAUACAAAUUUGGAAGAAGUCUAUACUAUUAUUUUCUACAUUAGUUCAACUUAGAGCCACAAUCUAUAUUCCUCUUUAGUUCAAAAGUCAUUUUUCAAAGAUGCACUAUCUUAGGAUUAAAUUGUAUUCAUAGACCCUCAUUGAAUAAAUUAUAUCCAAUUAACUAUAUUUAUUUAACAGUUUAUGAUUUUUAAAUAUCAUGACUUUUUAAAAUCUCUAAUUUAUUUGCCUUCUACAUGUACUAGGUUAGUUUCUGCAAAAAUAUAAGGGAACUAAGUAUUGUGAUCUGGCCAUAGUGCUGUUCAGAGGCUAGUUGGGAAAUUGAGGGUGCUUGCUAUAUUUUUGAAAGUGUACUCCUUAAUAUGUGGUUUGAUUUUAAUUCAACCAACAUUUGUUCAGAAUAUACUAUUAGUAAAGCCUUGUAUUCACAUUUAUGUGAUAUGUAAUCAUGAAAAAGACAUUGACUCUGCCAUAUACAUAUUCAUAACUUAGAAGAGGAGAUAAACAUGAAAAUCUGGUAAGUCAAGCAACUAAGUUGAGAAUAUAAGGAUAGUAGAGAUUAAUUCUAGUUGGAAUUGAGGAAUUGGGAAGAAACCAUGUGAUAGUAGGAUAAAAGCUAAGAGCUUAAAUUUGGAGGACAUUUUCUAGUAGCUGAAAUGGGGAGACAUGCAAUGUAGUUAGGCCCAAGGUUGGUUUGCAUGGGAAGAAAUUGGAUUUGAUUAUAAUUAUUAUUAUUAGUAGUAGUAGUAGACAUCGUCAUAGUUGUAGUCAUAGUUGUAUUUUAUGAAGGGUAUUUGCAUAAUUCUAUAAUUAAUUAUUGAGAUGCAUUUUGUGAAAACAAAGAGAAUUAAAUCAUAGCAAAAUGGGAAAAAUUAUCUAACAUUCCUCUGCCUUUCCUUUUGGUGUCCUUUGGCUUGGUUUGGUGUCCUGAGACAUUUGCCUGUGGUGAUCUACCUCCAUGGUCACCAUGCUGUAGUAAUAAGUGUGCAAGUUUGAAAAUCAGAUGACCUGGCCUGGAGUCCUGACUCUACCCCUCACAAAAAAUUCAUAUUGAUGAACCUAGACUUUCAAGACAUGGCUAAAUUAUGUCCAAAACAAGGAAUAUUUGACAACGUCUGGAGACAGUGUCUGGCUUGUCACAGUUGGGGAAGAUACCACAGAUAUCUCGUGGGUAGAAGCCGGGGUGCAGUUAAAUAUCCUAUGAAGCAUAUAAUGCUGUUCUCUACAACAAAGAAUUGUCUGACGUUGCUGAAGUUAAGAAACUCUGGACCAAGGUUUUUGGCCUGAACAGAGGAAAGAAUGAUGCUACCAGUAACAGAAUGAGGGCGCUGCUAGUGCAGUAUAGUUUGCAAAAAGGAAACCAGAGUUCUGUCUUUUUGAAGUGCCUAUCAGAUUUUCAAGGCCAAUGUCAAAUAUUACAAUAUCAUAAAGUAAAAAUAAGAUUAAAGUUUAUCUGUUGUUAAAUUAAUGUUUAAAUAAUUCCUUUAGAAAUUAAAUUUCUAUAAAAUGGAAAUUGUGUCUCAAAAUAUUCCUGUGUUAUCUACAAGGCCUAACAUAGCUUCUGGUAUUUCAACAUAUAUAAAAAAGUAUGAAUAUAGCGGCCAUAUUAAUGUUCUCCUCCCUAGUUCUAUUACACUAUUUGGAAUGAUAUAAUUUUAGUCUUAGAAAUAGAAAAUUAUCUCCCUUCAUUUUGAUGAACACAUUAUAUAAUUAAAGUACACAUAAGGGUUGUAAUUACUAUGUUUCCUAAUAUAUUAUAGUUCUUUCAUCUCCUCAGUCUGCUUUUUGUGAAGAGGACUUUUUCAGGGUAGAAGAAUGACUCAGUAAUGAGAAAAAGGGGAAAUUAUGUUAAGUCUUUCUUCUUUUCAUUCCUCCCCUAUUCUGGAUCCAGGGGUAGUACCACACACUUCCCCAAGCAGCAUUUCUGAUAACUUAGAAUAUCCUUAUGAAGCCAUCUCUAAAAAAAUAAUAGGUUUCUUUCCAUUCGUUCUCUGAAAUAGCCUCCUUUAAGUCUAGAGUGCCUGCAGCUGAACAAGCAGCUACCAGUGCAGUAGGACUUGUUGCUAGGGGGAGUUGCCCUUAUCACUUCUCAUCUAAACUCGGUGGGUUAUGUGGAAAAAACGGCAUGUGCUUAACUUCAGAUUUUAAAGUCUUUUAACUUUGCAGUUGAGUGCCUUCAAUUGAAUUUCUUAAUUAACUUUUAAGUUAUGACUGUCUCUUAUUCCCUCCUUACCUAUAUUGAAGGAGCCAAUCAGUAAAUACCUAAGUCCUGCCUGCCCGCCGUGAAGCAAGGAAAAUGUACUUGCUAAUGAUUGAAUUAAUUCUCACACUUUAGUUAAUAUUGACCAAUAUUUCUUGGAUUUUAUUUCCAAAAUGACUUUCUUUUUUUCUUGAAAUACUGUUUUAAAAGUAGCUUUAAAAUGUAUCCUCCAUGUAAGUAUAACAAAACAGAGUGAUUUAUUCACAGCUACUUGUUUCAAUAAUGCAGAUGUUCAGGGCUACAGUACUCAAAUAGUGAGACUCAGGGAAGGGAGAGGAAUUGGCUGAAUUAAUUUAAAAGAAAAUCUGGCCGAGCACUGUGGAUCACACCUGUAAUCCCAGCACUUUGGGAGGCUGAGGCAGGUGGAUCACGAGGUCAGGAGUUUGAGACCAUCCUGGACAACAUGGUGAAAGCCCAUCUCUACUAAAAAUGCAGAAAUUAGCUGGGCAUGGUGGCACAUGCCUGUAAUCCCAGCUACUCAGGAGGCUGAGGCAGGAGAAUCCCUUGACCCAGGGAGUAGGAGGUUGCAGUGAGCUGAGAUCGCGCCACAGCACUCUAGCCUGGUGACAGAGAGAGACUCCGUCUCAAAAA